UACAGAGGUCUCAAGCGUUGUUCGGAUUCAUUGGGCGUAAAGGGUGCGUAGGCGGCGCGGUAAGUCGGAUGUGAAAUCUCGGAGCUUAACUUCGAAACUGCAUUCGAUACUGCCGUGCUUGAGGACUGGAGAGGAGACUGGAAUUUACGGUGUAGCGGUGAAAUGCGUAGAUAUCGUAAGGAAGACCAGUGGCGAAGGCGGGUCUCUGGACAGUUCCUGACGCUGAGGCGCGAAAGCCAGGGGAGCAAACGGG
rnacentral:rRNA from 1 species